rnacentral:rRNA from 1 species
CUACGGGCGGCAGCAGUGAGGAAUAUUGCACAAUGGGGGGAACACUGAUGCAGCAACGCCGCGUGGAGGAUGACGCAUUUCGGUGUGUAAACUCCUUUUAUAUGUCAAGAAAAUGACGGUAGCAUAUGAAUAAGCACCGGCUAACUCCGUGCCAGCAGCCGCGGUAAUACGGAGGGUGCAAGCGUUACUCGGAAUCACUGGGAGUAAAGGACGCGUAGGCGGGUUGGAAAGUCAGGUGUGAAAUCCUACAGCUUAACUGUAGAACUGCACUUGAAACUUCUAAUCUAGAGUAUGGGAGGGGGAGAUGGAAUUAGUGGUGUAGGGGUAAAAUCCGUAGAUAUCACUAGGAAUACCUAAAGCGAAGGCGAUCUCCUGGAACAUUACUGACGCUAAGGCGUGAAAGCGUGGGGAGCAAACAGGAUUAGAUACCCCCGUAGUC